rnacentral:tRNA from 1 species
CAGUGUUGUAGUUUAAGGUAGAAUGACAGCUUUGGGGGUUGUAGGUCUUUUUGUUUGAAAGUGGGCUGA